AUACGGAGGGUGCAAGCGUUAUUCGGAAUCACUGGGCGUAAAGGACGCGUAGGCGGGUUGGCAAGUCAGAUGUGAAAUCCCACAGCUUAACUGUAGAACUGCAUUUGAAACUGCUAACCUAGAGUAUGGGAGGGGGAGAUGGAAUUAGUGGUGUAGGGGUAAAAUCCGUAGAUAUCACUAGGAAUACCGAAAGCGAAGGCGAUCUCCUGGAACAUAACUGACGCUAAGGCGUGAAAGCGUGGGGAGCAAACAGGAUUAGAAACCCUAGUAGUCC
rnacentral:rRNA from 1 species